rnacentral:rRNA from 1 species
UGGGGAAUAUUGGACAAUGGGCGCAAGCCUGAUCCAGCCAUGCCGCGUGAGUGAUGAAGGCCCUAGGGUUGUAAAGCUCUUUCACCGGUGAAGAUAAUGACGGUAACCGGAGAAGAAGCCCCGGCUAACUUCGUGCCAGCAGCCGCGGUAAUACGAAGGGGGCUAGCGUUGUUCGGAUUUACUGGGCGUAAAGCGCACGUAGGCGGACUAUUAAGUCAGGGGUGAAAUCCCGGGGCUCAACCCCGGAACUGCCUUUGAUACUGGUAGUCUUGAGUUCGAGAGAGGUGAGUGGAAGUCCGAGUGUAGAGGUGAAAUUCGUAGAUAUUCGGAGGAACACCAGUGGCGAAGGCGGCUCACUGGCUCGAUACUGACGCUGCGGUGCGAAAGCGUGGGGAGCAAACAGG